UCCCCGAGUCCCCAGUGUAGCCCCCUCGUGAGCUCGCGGUAUUUUCCUUAUAUGAUCGAGCUCCGCUCGGCGCCGCUGGCCCGGAGCCCGAGAGGAUUAUGAAAACGUGGGGUGAGGUGGGGCUGGGGACCGGGG